UGUAUGGACAACGAUGAUCUUCGACGAGGCAAACCCACAAACCAUAAGAUGUUCGGCGAAGAAACUGCCAUUCUGGCCGGCGAUGCUCUCCUCUCAUUCUCCUUUGAGCAUGUAGCUGCAGCAACCAAGAACGUUUCACCUGACCGAGUGGUUAGAGCCAUUGCUGAGCUUGGUUCAGGAGUUGGAGCAGCAGGGCUAGUGGCAGGCCAAAUUGUAGACAUUGAAAGCGAGGGGAAACAAGUAACUUUAGAGGACUUAGAGUAUAUCCACAUCAACAAGACGUCGAAGCUUUUAGAAGCAGCAGUUGUUUGCGGGGCGAUAAUUGGAGG
rnacentral:misc_RNA from 1 species